AGGACAUGGACGCUGUCCCGGAGAGCCCUGGCUUUUUGCAAAUUCUUGGCCAGUAAGCCGCAGAGAUAAUCCUUCAUUCUCUGUGGGCUCCAACUUCAGCGGUGCUCUUCGAAAUCCCAGUCCUGCUCGCUAAGUUGAGGCUGGAGCUGGGGGGACAGGGGGUACAGAGGACACAUCACUUGGCACUGAAGUCCUGGACAGGGCCGUGGGGCCUGAGGAAGUCGACUUCACGGGUUGCAAGCCUGGAGAAGAAACACUGGAGAGGAUGCCACCUGCUGGCGAGGGACCCUGGCUUGCACGGCGGGCGCUACGGAGACCUGGAGCACGGAUGUGCAGAAAACCAGAAUUUAGGAGGCUUUCCAAGUGGGUGGUUUUCCGCUGUCUCCUCGGGGCUGCCAGCUCCAUCGGCUGCGCUGAGACACCCCGGAGCCCGCGCGCCACCCCGCAGGAGCCGAAGUUUCCAGCAGGUCGCCUUCCCUCGCAGCGCGCCAGGGUCUGAAGAUUCUCCGUGCUUCUCCAUCAGGUGGAGCCGCGCUCCGCACUGCCUCCCUCCUCCCUCCUCUCUCCUCCCUCCUCCCUCCUCGCGAGCGAACCGCGCGCAGGCCGCCUUGCAGCGCCAGGAGGUUAACCGAGCCCCGGGAGGAGCUUCUGUGAAAGGAGCCCUUCUGUCGCUCGUCACUCGCUCGCUCGCUCGCUGUGGGAGGAGCCCGCCGGAGGGAGCCGUGUGCCCGGGAUGCCGAGAGCCAGAGAAUGGAUCUGCUCCGAGCGGGGACACUGCUGAGGAUCCCGGCUUCCCGACGCGGCUAAAAACAUACGAUUUGUCUCGGCUGGCUGCAGAGACCCGGAGGCACAAAGAGCCCGCAGCCACUCUGAGGGACCGAGGGACUGACAGGCAGAUGGUCGGCGCGAACCCGAGAGGACCCGCGGCGGAGGCUGAGCCCGGAGAGCCGCCGAGGAAGAGAAACUAA
rnacentral:lncRNA from 1 species